CGAAGAAGGACGGGACUAACACCGAUAUGCUUUGGGGAGCUGUACGUAAGCGUUGAUCCAGAGAUUUCCGAAUGGGGGAACCCACUAUCUUUAGUCGGAUAGUAUCCUUACGUGAAUACAUAGCGUGAGGAAGGCAGACCCAGGGAACUGAAACAUCUAAGUACCUGGAGGAAGAGAAAGAAAAAUCGAUUUCCUGAGUAGCGGCGAGCGAAACGGAAAGAGCCCAAACCAAGAAGCUUGCUUCUUGGGGUUGUAGGACACUCUAUACGGAGUUACAAAAGAAAGUUAUAAAUGAAGCGGUCUGGAAAGGCCCGCCAAAGACGGUAACAGCCCGGUAGUUGAAAUGGCUUUCCCUCCAGAGUGGAUCCUGAGUACGGCGGAACACGUGAAAUUCCGUCGGAAUCCGGGAGGACCAUCUCCCAAGGCUAAAUACUCCCUAGUGACCGAUAGUGAACCAGUACCGUGAGGGAAAGGUGAAAAGCACCCCGGAAGGGGAGUGAAACAGUU
rnacentral:rRNA from 1 species